GACAGAGGGUGCAAACGUUGCUCGGAAUUACUGGGCGUAAAGCGCAUGUAGGCGGCUUUGUAAGUCGGAUGUGAAAGCCCUCGGCUUAACCGAGGAAGUGCAUUCGAUACUGCAGAACUAGAGUAUCGGAGAGGGUCGUGGAAUUCCUGGUGUAGAGGUGAAAUUCGUAGAUAUCAGGAGGAACACCGGCGGCGAAGGCGGCGACCUGGACGAAUACUGACGCUCAGAUGCGAAAGCGUGGGUAGCAAACAGG
rnacentral:rRNA from 1 species